AUGAUGUGCAAGUAGAGAUACUGGAGUGAUAGAUGAGCAGAUGAUGAUGUGCAAGUAGCGAUACUGGUGUGCAAAAGAAACUUAAAUGAAGUGAUUAACAAUAGCUUGUACUUCUUCAGAUACGCAUUUAAAAACUGGUUUGAAGAAAGUGGUGAGGAUAGGAUCUAGAAGGCAGGUAGAAGGUGGUGAGGAUAGGAUCUGGAAGGCAGGUAGAAAGUGGUGUGGAUAGGAUCUAGAAGGCAGAUAGAAAGUGGUGUGGAUAGGAUCUAGAAGGCAGGUAGAAAGUGGUGUGGAUAGGAUCUAGAAGGCAGGUAGAAAGUGGUGUGGAUAGGAUCUAGAAGGCAGGUAGAAAGUGGUGUGGAUAGGAUCUAGAAGGCAGGUAGAAAGUGGUGUGGAUAGGAUCUAGAAGGCAGGUAGAAAGUGGUGUGGAUAGGAUCUAGAAGGCAGGUAGAAAGUGGUGUGGAUAGGAUCUAGAAGGCAGGUAGAAAGUGGUGUGGAUAGGAUCUAGAAGGCAGGUAGAAAGUGGUGUGGAUAGGAUCUAGAAGGCAGGUAGAAAGUGGUGUGGAUAGGAUCUAGAAGGCAGGUAGAAAGUGGUGUGGAUAGGAUCUAGAAGGCAGGUAGAAAGUGGUGUGGAUAGGAUCUAGAAGGCAGGUAGAAAGUGGUGUGGAUAGGAUCUAGAAGGCAGGUAGAAAGUGGUGUGGAUAGGAUCUAGAAGGCAGGUAGAAAGUGGUGUGGAUAGGAUCUAGAAGGCAGGUAGAAAGUGGUGUGGAUAGGAUCUAGAAGGCAGGUAGAAAGUGGUGUGGAUAGGAUCUAGAAGGCAGGUAGAAAGUGGUGUGGAUAGGAUCUAGAAGGCAGGUAGAAGUCCUAAUUUGUGAUAUCACUUUCCUGAACAUGUCUGUGCCAACCAGGGAAAAUACAUCUGUAGUAGACAAGGGCAGAUAUCAUCAAACUUCUCAUCAGGU